rnacentral:rRNA from 1 species
UACCAGCACCCCGAGUGGUCGGGACGUUUAUUGGGCCUAAAGCAUCCGUAGCCGGUUCUACAAGUCUUCCGUUAAAUCCACCUGCUUAACAGAUGGGCUGCGGAAGAUACUAUAGAGCUGGAGGAGCGGGAGAGGCGAAGCGGUACUCGAUGGGUAGGGGUAAAAUCCGUUGAUCCAUUGAAGACCACCAGUGGCGAAGGCGGCUUGCCAGAACGCGCUCGACGGUGAGGGAUGAAAGCUGGGGGAGCAA